ACAAAAAUUAGAAAACAGUCAAUCCUCUAGUAAAAAUCUCCCAAAGGGUAGCACAGAUACCAGUUAUUAGUCAGGAGCAUGUGGUCCUUUGGCACAGAUAAAUUUUGAGUCUCUCAUACUCUUAACUGUAUAGCUGUCCUCACCCAAUCCCCAGCAAACACUGCUAUCACUAGCAGUGACUGGUGGAGGGAGGAGAAUGUUUCUGCAGGCCUGGAAGGUUCUACAGAGUCUGGGAGGAAGAAAAAGGCACAGGUGCAAUGAAUAAGACCAUUCCCAGCCUAGUCCCGACCUCAGAAUUCUCAUUUGGCCUCAUCAGGAGAACUGGUCUCUGCUAAGAAUCACUAUUUACUGAGAGCCCUUUUAUACAUAAGGAAAUCGGCAGUGAAAGGACAUUUCCUGAUACAAGGAACAAUCUCACUUGGACUGCGGAGAUGGUUCCACAGAUCCUGUUUCUUUAAGCAAAACGUGAAGCUGCCCUUCCUGAAGAGAGGGUUUCAGGCUGACUCUCAUGGUCUUCCCAGUACUUCAUUUAUAUGGCCAAACAUGAGUGUUUCUUAUUUUGGUCAACAGGAACAGCGCAGACCUCGUUUAUCAUUGGAGCUCCACAGGAACUAACUGUCCUCGGAGAUGAACAGCUCCCUGACUCUGCGGCUGUGGAGAUUGACAGCUCCCUGACUCUGCGGCUGUGGAGAUUGACAGCUCGCUGCCCUGCUGCUUCCUUCUCAUGAGAUGAGCUGCAAAAGCUAUAGGAAAAGUCAGUAAGCUGGAAACCCUGAGUUGAAGACAAGAAACCCCCAUGAGGGCUAAGAAGAAUCCAUGACUACAAAUCAAACAACAUGCAUUUUAAAAAGCUUCUUUUUCCCUGAGGAAGACAACCUGUGAAAUUACCACAAACAACUUUUUCUGUAAGUCCGGCUAGCAUCUAGGUUCACAGGCGACUGUACAAAUAUGCCGUGUAACCUUUAAUUCUUAUUUUAUUCCUUUCUCAUGAAAUAAAUACAUAAAACUUUUAUUCUCUUUAAUUCUGUGAAAGAACAUGAAAAGGGGGAAUUUCAGAGAAUGAGGUGAGACUCAAGCAUCCUCAUAAGCACACAAGAGUUGGCUACUAGUAAAGAGACUGCAUUUUCCUUAGAGAAAAUCAGCACGUCUGAGGUGAACUGUCGCAUCCAUCACAUCUGGACUUCAAAGGAAUGGGUAGGAUGGGUGAGCUGAUAAGGACAGAAGGGUCAGACAAGAGAAAAACUUGCCUCUUACAGAAUAAAAGAACACGUACGACUCCACGAGACCUGGAGGAUGUUCAGUUACGCUCCUCUCUUAACACAAUGCUCAAAUGGUCACAAGAGGAUGCAAAUUAUUAUUAUUAUUAUUAUUAUUAUUAUUAUUAUUUUGAGAUAGGAUGUCUCUCAUUAGCCUAUGCUGGCCUUGAAUUCACUAAAUAGCUCAACUUGACUGUAAACUCUGGAUUUUCUUGCUUCCCCUGUCUAAGCCUGGGAACUGAAGCAUGCGACACCAUGCCCAUCUUGUGUUCCAUCAGAAACCUACAAACAUGCAGCUGUCCCUUGUGUCUGAGGAGACCAGUUCCAGGACAUCCUAUACUCCCUGGCAGAUAGCAAAAUCUGCAAAUGUUUAAAUAUCUUAUACAAAAUGGCACAAUAAUAGUACAUAACCUACUAUCUGUCAACUUGACGUCAUCCCUGGGUUACUUACAAUGCCAAAGAAAAUAUAUUUUUUUUAACAUAUGAAAGGGAAACUACACAUGCCUCCAAACUCUAAGGGUAGAACACAGGAAAGAAUGAAAGGAUGUGCAUAAAAUAAUGUAACAGAAAAAGGGAGAGAGCAAGCCACUUUUGCCUGGAAACAGGCUAAGAAUGUUUUCUAUGCAAUUAAAAGGCUGUGGAUAAAAUAAACAAAAAAGCAUUAGUGGAGGAGACAUGUUUUGUUUGUUUUUGGAGACAGGGUUUCAUUUUGUAGUCCAAGUUGGCGUCAAACUCACAGCCUCUAGCAAUGCGGGCACAUGCCUGCAUGCCUGGCUACUAGGUGGCCUUUCACAGACAAGUUUGCUGGUACUAUGUCAUGUCCUGUGUAAGGACCAUGCUCUUUCCUUCUGAAAGGAACCUGUCUGCAGAACUAAGCACAGGGAAGACGCCAGAUUUUAGAAGCAGACUGCAAAUACUGCAUUUUUAUUUACUGUUUCAAUUGGUCCUGAUUUGGAUGUCUUGUCUUUGCUUUACAAAAUACCUGAAUACUGUAGAGACCAAGAGAAUCCAUAUUUAUUACUCUUCUGUAAGGAGGACUUUUACAAUACUCCUGCUUUAUGUCGAAAUCUAUUUCUAGUAACUAUUUUAGUUAGCCAUGGUCCAGUCUGGACUGGACAAACUACAAGGACUAUGGUUUCAUAUUCUGAAUCUAUUUAUUUAUUUAUUUAUUUAUUUAUUUAUUUAUUUAUUUUGAGACAGGGUUUCUCUGUGGCUUUUGAGCCUGUUCUGGAACCAGCUCUUGUAGACCAGGCUGGCCUUGCACUCACAGAGAUCCGCCUGCCUCUCCCGAGUGCCAGGAUUAAAGGUGUGCACCAUCACUGGGCAUCUUCUGAAUUUUAUCUUCAAAGAACUUAUGACCUUGUCCACAAACUCCUAGACUCCUGUUCCAGAUGGUUUCAAAGCCGAGAAAAGCAGCAGCACUCACAAACCCUGGUGCAGCAGAAAAAGGCAAGCAGUGCAGAGCAAGCGAGCCACUGGGAAGAACACCUCCACCCUGCUGGACUGCACUAUAGCCUGUGUGUGCAGGGAGCUCCAGGUUUCCGGUUUCUGUGAGCUAUCACCCACGCUGAGGAGCAGCACUGUCAGAUUUAAGAGACUGCUCGAUCUUCAGAACAUCCUACUAGUUACCUUGAACCAUGGCACCUGGAUGCAGCGGAGGUGGAUCCUGAGUUCUAGGCCACUUGGAACCACACAGUGAGACCCUGCCUCAUACACUUCUACAUAAAAAGAAAAAAAUAAAAGAGUUCUCCAUGAGGAAGGGCAAGUCAACAGAAUUUGCCUAUCAACCUUUGCACAGCAUCAGUGAGAAUCAAUUAAGAAACUCAGCUUCUAAAAUUAACAGGCUUCCAUGAACAGUACCUGUGUGUUCCAAUGCAGCAUUCUAGCUGCAAAGUGACUACUAGCUGCCUCUCCUACGUUCAGACCAGAUGUACAGUAAGCCCAGUCAGGGCUUAAGCUGCACAACAGGCCAUACUAAUAUGCAAAUAAUGACCUGGAUCUCAAAUUCCAAAGAGCUCCUGAGGAGGAAAUAAAAAGCCCAAAGUGGACAACUCUGAGAGCCAAGAAGACUGAAGGCAGGAAAGGAAAACCAUGAGUAUAAACUGACAUUUACAACUCCAUGAAGGCAAAUAAAAACCACCAACUUAAGGAUUUAAGAAGUUAUGUGCCUUUCCUAAAAGCUUUUCCCAAGUAAAUCGCCUUCUAGAAAACUGUUAUUAUAAAGCUUUCAACAAAUACGGACAAAUUCUGGACAAGGUGAAUGUGGUUAGAAUGAGGCUUCGGACAGCAGUGUGCAGGGAGUUACUGUGAGGAAGGGACUAAGAUUAAGGUCACAAGAGUCCAGAGUUAACCCUUCACAUUCACAGUCAAGUGAAUUUCAGCUGUGGUGUCUGGAAAACAUAACGGAGCAGUAUGCUGGUGGGAUCGUCUUGUGAGUAACAUGACAUCGAUGUUCAUGAUCCAGUCACAAAAGAACUAGUUACCUCUCUCACAUAUACAAAUACUAACUCAAAGUCACCAAAAUUUAAGAACAAAACUGCAGACUUUUCAAAAAUAUAGGACUAAAUCCUGACAUUGGAUUAAGGAUUUCUUAACUAUGAUGAAAAGCACAGCAAUCAAACUCAGACAAAUGGAAACGAUAAUUAGAAAAGCCUAUGCUUCAAAGGUUAGUGUCAAGGAGAAAGAUGGCUCUGGGGGUUGAAUGAGAAUGUCCCCCACAGUCUUUGGCAUUUGAACACUUGGUCCCCAGGUGAUGACACUGUCUGGUGACGAUUUAAGUGGUGCAGCUUCAGUGGAGGAAAUAUUUCACUGUGGAUGGAUUUGAGAUUAAAAAAUCUCAGCUACUUCCGGUUUCAUCUCUCUGUUUCAUACUUGAAGUUCAAGAUGUGAGCUCUCAGCUUUCUGCUCCUGCUACCAAGCUGUCUCCAUCAUAUGGGCUCUAACGAAACUAUAUGCUCAAAUAAAUUCUUUCUCUAUAAGUUGUAUUAGUCAUGGUGUAACUUACCGAGUUUUUUUUUAUCACAGUAACAUAAAAGUAAUUAAUAUAAUGGCAUACAAAAUUAUUCUGACAAGUCAUAUAUCUGCUAAGUAUCUAGACUCAAUAUCAAAAAGUAUUAAGAUGCAAUAUUAAAAAGGCAAAUGUAUAUCUAGCUAAUAGAAUAUACUUUGGCUAUAAAUCCAAAGUAGUACCUGAUCACAACAUAGAAGAACUUCGCAAUAUGUAACCAAAGCCACCAAUCACAAACAUCCCAAACUAUAUUAUCCUUGAAGUGUCCAGAAUGAGUACACCUAGAAAUAAGAAGUGGAUGGGUGGUGACAAAGGGUGGAGGGAGUUAAAGCAGUAAGUGGAGACUGACUGAAACUAACUGUGGGCUGUUCCUCAGGGUGAUGAAAAUGCUCUCAAAUGGUGGCAAGGACUACAGUGUUCUGAAAAUUCUGAAACACCGAAUCACUACUCUGUGCAGGAGUACUGUACUGUAUAGGAAUUAAAUCUUGAUAAAUUUAUUAUAAAAAUCAAAAAUCAAAAGAAGAAAUAACCGUUGACUUUAAUAUAUACCACACAGGCAUGUCUGGAUAAAAUAAAGCACAGUAAAGAACCACGGUGGGCAUUCAGUCCAUUGCUCCUCAGCAAACAUCAGGUAUAAAAACAUGACCACGUAGUAGUCUAGGCAUUAGUGAGAAGACAGACAGAUGAAAAUGUCUACAUAUAGAAAGUACACCAACCUCCAAGUGGGAGAGGGUAAGAGAAAACAUUCGUAAAAAAUGUAUGUAUAGUAAGGCAGAUGGUGACAACACUUCUGUUAAAUAAAGGUACAAGUGAGGAAAAGUUUAAGACUUGAACUUUCAAGAGUUAUGUCCAGCAUGGACCUCACUGCAAAGGUGACAUGUGAUCAAAACUCUAAGUGGGUGAAGCGAUGAGGCUCGGGAUAUGUGGCUCUGAAACGAGGUAUGAAGUAAAAAAGGCCCCUUGUGGGUGCUUGGUCAGCACUUAUGAAGCCACGGUGAAAAGAAGUCAGGCACAUCACAGGCAGCUGAAUCCUACAGGGCCCUGGAGGUAAGGAUGCUCGGCAGAUGAAGAUGGGAAUUUCAUUUUAAUAAAAUCACACUGACCUGGGCCUGGAGAGAUGGCUCAGUGGUUAAGAGCACUGGUUGCUCUUCCAGUAACCCGGGUUCAGUUCCCAGCGCCCACAUGGCAGCUCACAACUGUCCGUAACUCCAGUUCUAAGGAUUCAACACUCUCAUACAGAUAUGUAAACAGGCAAACACCAAUGCACAGAAAAUAAAUAAAGAAAUCUUUUUAAAAAAUACCAAUGACGACUAUACAGAGAGAAGCAUAGGGACAAAGGUCAAAAGGGAAUCUGCCAUCAUAAUUGAGGUAAACACUGGGGGUGACUUGAAAUACAGGGGUUAAGAGUGGAGCUGCUGGUAUGUAGCCAGAUUUUCAUAGAGAGCUCCAGAAUUGGCCAAUAACUAGAGAUUUGAGGAAUAAUGGCAAGAUUUUUGGAAUGAACAACUUAAAAGACUAACGCAUAUGUAAAGUAUUUAAGAUUACAAUAAUAAAUACUGAUGUGGAAUCUAUUUGAUUAUUAUGUAAUGCCAGAACAUCAGUGUUCUAGUAGAAGUGCAGGCAGCCUGCAAUUAACUACACUCUUAGGUAAGAGCUUCUACAUAGGACUUUUGUAUAAUUUUAGUCAAACACAUAAAAUAUACUAAGGCAUAUACACACGUUCUGACAUAGCGUAUUAUAAUUUUCUUCAGUGCUCUAGGCAAGAGCAUCUCUCAGGGCCCCGAGAGAGCAGCCUUUACUCCUGCUCGUCUGCACAGCUCAAGGAGAGAAAGCAUCUAUGGCGGCAGUUCUUCACUAGACAGAAGGAUAAAUGUAAGCCAGGUAGAGGGUAAUCUCAAAUCCUGUAAAGGCUUCUGUCCUUCCUCUAACUCAGAAAGGCCAGUCUCAGGUGAACAUUUGUACUAAGUAUCCUGUUUUCUUAAGACAACUCAAAAUUUAACAAUAUUUUUUUUAAAUUUAUUUAUUUAUUAAAGAUUUCUGUCUCUUUCCCACCACUGCCUCCCAUUUCUUUCCCCUCCCUUAACAAUAUUUUAUAUACGGCCAUCUUGAUACAGCUUGCAAAAUAAACUACAGAGAACUUUGUAGCUUUUCUACAAAACUUUAUUUGCACAUAUUUCAAAAUCUUAGGUUGUCCCAUAUAUAAUACUGUAAAAAUAUGGUAACUAUUCAUAUGUCAGCAAAUCAUUUAAUAUAGCAGCAUAUUAGUUUCUCCCAUAGGAAUAUUUUGAUUGACAGCAAUGGCUAUUUCUGAUAGUGUAAUUAUGAACUACUUUUAUUUAGAUUUUCCCUAUGUCAUACUGCUGUGUGUUCUUGAGUGAACUGAAAAACAUCCCAGUAGUAUCAGUAACCAUGAUAUAAACAGUCUACAUUCUAUUAGUUGUGGCAUGUAAUAUCUUAUACAACUGUAAUCAUUUCUUUCUAUAGGAAAGGAACCUAAAUAUAACAAAAGAUCAAGUAAUGCUCCUAGGUGACCAUUAAUUAUUUACCAGAAAUGAGAAAACAGGAGAAAGAAGAGAAGUCAAGAAAAAGACAACAGAUAUAUACUUACAAACUCAACUCUUUCAAAUCCUCUAGAACGCCUUAAAAGGGCCAACUUCUCCAGCCUGAGGGAGAGCCCUAGCAUAGGCACAGCAACACUGUUUCAGUAACCUUACUUCUUUCCCUUAGGUAGACAUCUUUGCCCAGAUACAAAAGGGUGAGGGAUAUGGCUGAUCUCUUUGAUAUUUAAAGGUGGAGAUUAAAUAUGAGGCUUCUCUUAGACAAAUUACAAUGAUACCAGUCGAAGCAGACUCCAUAGGAGGAGACUGGACACAUUUCUGUGCCGAGAAAUAAGGUUUCUUAUCAAUAACGUACAAGACAGCUAAGUCGCCUAAGAAAUUAACCAUAGUUAAAUAAGCUGCAAACCACAUAAGGUAACUGCAUCAAAUGAAAUGUUCUCCACACCUAACUUCCUAUGCAUGUGAGACAUGUCAAAAGUUAGCAGGCUUCUUUUGUGACCUACACAGUAUCUAGGAAACUAAACAAUGCAAUAGUAUUUAGCAACAGUGUAUCUAGAAGUGACUGUUAGCUUAACUCAGCACAAUCCUAUUGGUUCUUUUUCACAGACUUUCUAAGGUAUCAAAAUCCCCAACUACACAAGAAAAUACUAGAAGCAGGAUGGUACACUUCAGAUUGCUUAUGUGUCUGCUUGGCACAAACGUCACUCCAUAUAGGCUGAACCGCCUCUUCUGCAACCAUUUUAACAGAUAAAUUCUGUUUUAAAUUCUGUCUCUGAAAAACUGGUGAAACUACUCAAAUAUAUGCUUGUUGUCUAAAUCAGCAACAAAAUAUAGUUGUUUUUCAGUACGCUAUUUAUAUAACACACAUGACUGUGUGAUCAUUGUUCAUUGGCUUGUAAAUACGGGCUCAUCUGGAGAUAGAAAUCAAAGGGAAACUUCACCAAGAGUCAAUCAAUAGAUUCAAAGUUUAGUUUAUUUAUUUCCUUUGUUUUGGUUUGGUGUUUCACGACAGGGUUUCUCUGUAGCUUUGAAGCCUGUUCUGGAACUAGCUCUUGUAGACCUAGAUGGCCUUGAACACUUAGAGAUCUGCCUGCCUCUGCCUCCCAAGUGUUGAGAUUAAAGCUAUGUGCCACCACCGCUUGGCAGAUUCAAAGCUUUAAAAUGUGUGUCAGAUACAAAAACAAUAAAAACUAAAAACAUAGCAAGGAAAUUACAAAUAGAAAUGGGGCUAAGAGUCAAAUCUGACACAAAACAGAUUCUGUGUCGUCAUUGCUGUCGAGGCAGCAAAUGAUCUGAAAAACCUCACACCCUACAUUCAAAAUUAAAAACAUUUCACAUAGAAGAAAAAUUAAUCAGCAACAGAAACUCAAACUCCAUCAGAAAAAAAAAACAACAACAACCUAUCUAUUCUGUCCUGUGUGUCACAAGUUUACAUAAUAUGAUGGAAAAUGAAAGAAAUGGAAACAUUCACAAAAAUAGUAGUUAAAGACAGUAACAACCAGAAAAAUUUUAUGACAUUGGUAUUGAUUCUAAAAAUACUUCAACAUACUGCAGCAGUGACCCUCAAAUGGAUGUUUUCAGGCCCAGCUGUUCAGAAGUCUUAGGUACACUGUCAGCAAAUUCUAAGGUGGAGGCAGCAAACGGACAUGUGUUUGUGAGUUCACACUGAGAAGAAAAUGCAUAUCCACAUGGGAUCAUUCUGUGUCACAAGAAAUUUGCUGUUUACUAAUUUCCUCCAGAAAAAUAAAGGCAAAUUUAGACUGUCCAUUCCAAAAUUCUUGGCUGGUAAGACCUUUAGUAUUUCCUUUAAAUAAUGUGGUAUUUUUUUCAAGUUUUGAUUUAGUAUUUUCUGAAAUGUGCCUAAAUAUUUUCUAAAACUAUAAAAUUACCAUUUUCCAAUCUUGGUUGUAUCUAACCACCCCCACACCAGUCAUGAAACACACAAAUGAAUGCUGCCUUGAAGGACUUGAAGAUUUCAAUGCAUAAGUAAGUUUACUGGUACAUAGCAAAAAUGUCUAAAAUCCACGGCUGAGAAUCCUUCUGGAAACUGGCCAGGGUUAAAGAGAUUCAAAAACAGAAAUUUAGGUCACACAUCUGCAAAAUUCAUUUUAUUUUUGAAGUCCAAUUAAAUGCUGUUUAUAAUUAAAUUUAUGUGUACGAGUGUUUUUCCUGCAUGUAUCUAUGUAAAUCCCAUGCAUGCCCGUUGCCCUGGGGUCUCAGAAGAGUGUUGAAUCACCUGGAACUGGAAUUAGAAACAUUUAUGAGCCACUGUGGAGGCUGGGAAUCAACCUGGAGUUCUCUGAAAUAAGAAGUGUACUUAACUGCUGAGCCAUCUCUUCAACUCUAAAUGGUGUUUUUAAAUUGAAAUUUAUUCAUGAAAAUAGUAGCAUUUAUUAUCAAGCUUGACUGAAAGAUCUGAGUUACUUAGUCCCAAACUCUGAGAGGCUGGUUAGACCUCAGGAGUUUUCAUCAGUGCUUGAUCAUAUGCUUUCUCAUGACUCAAGGGCUCGCACGCUUUCAGAAAGUCCAGCUGGAACUGGAUGUGAUUAUGCCAAUUUACAGUAGCAAUGCCCUGAUGGCCAGCUGGUUUAAAUGAUGCACCCUCCCCCACAGUCGCAGGCAUUUGAAUACUUGGUCCCCAGAUGGAGAUGCUGUUUUAACAACUCUGAACUUGGAGGAGGAAUGUCACUGAAGGAAGGCUCUGGGAGUUUAAAGACUUGUGCCAUUUUGACUGUGCUCUCUCUGCUUCAUGCCUGCAGCAACUUGGAAGUGUUAGCUAAAACAAAUGCCUUUCUCCUUCAAAGGUGGUGAAUGCAGACUCUCAGCUUCCAGUUCUAGCUGCUCUACUGAUGUGGGAGUGUCAUAUAUCAAUCUGUUGAUUUCAUUGGUUAAGCAAUAAAUAUUGGCCCUGAUAGGUUAAAACAUAGGUGGGAGGAGUAAACAGAACAGAAUGCUGGGAGGAAGAGGAAGUGAGCUCAGACUCGACAGCUCUGCUCUCUGGAGCAGAGACGCCAUGCUCAGCUCUCCCGAUAGCUCUGCUCUCAGAGACACACGUGAUGAAGCUCCGACCCAGGAUGGAUGUAGGCUAGAAUCUUCCCGAAACCCCGAGCUUGAUCAGUAGAAGGAGACAACUGGGGAAAUAGGAAUCAAAAUGAGAAUUUAAACCCAUGAAACUUCAGGUCCUUAGUGCUGACUCCUCAAGAGCACCAUCCCAUCAAGCUACAUCAAGUCCAGCAUCCUCUGCAUAAAACAGAACCAUCUUCACCAAACCCAAACUUUUAAACUUCUCCACUUAACCAAAGCACAGGGAGCUGGUUUUAAAGUCUUUGGUUAGGCACGAUCCACGUGUGUUCCACCAGUACUGCUGCUCCCCGUUCGCAGGUGGCCCAGGUUCUGCAGCUUUACCCAGCACCGUAUGUUGAUGAAUAUGCAGGAGCUGCUCCAGCCACCAGGUUAAUCAAGAAUUUUUAGAGGUAACACAGGUUACCAACCAGUACCCAGGAGGUGGGAUGGGAUGAAGAUGUGGCUGGGGAUGGAGAAGUCAGGGGAUAACCACAAGCUGGAUAGUCAAAGAGCAAUUAAAAAAUUCCAACUAUAAUUCUGAAAACUAUUGUGUGUACUGAUUCCAAAUAAACUCAGAGUGCGAGAGAGCUCCUUAUUUCAUGUCAGCUCACUAAACCUUUACAAAGUCUUCAGCUUUCUUCAGAGAAUGGUACCCAUCUCUAAGCCAAACUUCUAAAUCUUGGCGGCGAAGUCGAUUCUCCUGGAAAGCUUUUAUAACUCCGAGGCUUCCGUCUCACACAAUCAACUUCAAUCUGUUGGUCUCGGAUGGAAAGCAUGCCUACGGUCUGUUUUUAGGUAUCCCAGGUGA